rnacentral:lncRNA from 10 species
CACAAGUAUAAAAGGGAGUUUAAAUGGGCAGAGAUUUCACUGGAGCCCACCCAGGUGCCCUUGGCCCACCAGGAGGUUACCGACAGACAUUGCCAUGCCAGCAGCUUCCAGCAUUUCUUUAGCUGAAGACAUUCUCUAACCACAAGACUGUCCUUAGACCAUGCAUAGGUCAAGUCUGAAGGGCCAAAAAGCCAGCACGUCCAGGAACAGCCCCAACCGAUGGGGAACAGGAGUGGCAGGAUGUGUCACCAGUUUCUGGGCCAGCUUCUGGGUGGACGAUCCUGAGGCGUGUCUGCUCCAUCUUAUAGAGAGUUGUACUGGGAUUGGCCUUCAGAACCUGCACGGGUAACAUAUUCACGAAGGCACCCUUGGUUGCCUGUCCCCUUCCUGAUCUCACUCCCUGGCCCCUCACCUCCCAAGAAACCACCUGUGCCAGGUCCUCGUCCCAGGCUUUGCUUCUGAGGAAGCCCAGACUAAAACCAGGGCUGAACCUGUAGCCGUAGAGCACAGGCUGUGGACCACGAGUUCUGAUUUCAGGCUUCCCCGUGGCCUCGGGUAAUGGAUCUGCUUCACUGCUCCAUUCUUCAUUCGUCACACGACAAUCAUAAGGGGACAUCCCUGCUGGUGUUGAUCUCAGGCUUGUCUCCAUGUGGAGGAAGGGCUCAGCGCACAUGUCCUCUGGGACCAAGCAGGACGUGCAGAGCCACAGCUGCUAUUUGCACUUCGGCUCGUUUCUUCACCAGUUGAAGACUCAGUUUCCACAUCAUUAAAAUUGGGAGAAUAAAUAGUGACAAGUGCCAGUAGGACACUUGCCCAGAGCCUGGAAUACGAGGAAUUCGAUAAAUACUGACUAUCUUAGAAUGCUUAUGGAUAGUAAUAGCAAUCGUUGUAUCACCCACAGCUGCUUUACGGCAGGGCCCCACGAUGUGGAUUGAAUCACAGUGAAGAGAAGCCACUCGGACCACGUUUGAGUCAGGAGGGGCAGUUGUGAGGUUGGGGGCAGGGGGCUGAGUCAGUCACUGAAGUAAUAUCCCCAUGGAAUUGUGCUCUGGUGACACAAUUCCAUAUCAGAAUCCUCCCUCACCCUCAACAAAGGAACACGCUGCAGGGGCCGGGGAGGGGACGUUGCUAAGACAGAAACUGCUAAAAUCACACCCAAUGUGCUAGAGAUCACAAUAUGCAUCUUCCAAUUCACUUUAAUAUUCUGCUUUUUCUUCCAACUGUUCCGCCUCAGUGGUGCUGAGAUGCCACAGCCACCGCGUUGUCCAUGGGUGAACCAUUCAUGUCAUCCCCAUGAGGGCAGUGUCGUGUGGACCAGAGGAGCUCAUGGUCCCAGUGGCAGGACGUCCGUUAUGCAGGUCCAGCAGUAUGGAGUUGCUCCUGCUCCUGCCCCUCCACAUCCCCAGGGAACAGAUGCUUCUGGCAGGUUGGUGUUGGAUGAACAUGAAGUCCUGGCCCAGCAAACCAUGAAGCUGAGCUGAGAUUUCUGUCACCACACAAGUGGCGUCCCCCAAAUCACCAGGGAAGACUGGGAGAGAGGAUGAGGACGGGGCAGUGCCACCAGGAUGAACAUUCUGGAAACACGGCAAAUCCCACAACGCCUGGAGCCGUUCCUUCUGCUUCCCGCUCACCCGCUUCCCACUUUUCUCCUCAAGUCUCAUCACAUGUAUCUUCCAUCUCCACCCCAGCUGGAUGCCAGAGUAUGGGGAGUAAAAGCUGACUGCUCUUCCGUAGCCAUUAGGGAGGGCAUGACCCACUUUGUUCUACUUGCUGGAAGGGUCAGAGAUCAACCAGGGCUCUGCCCACUAUGCCGGGGCACCCCUUUGCUAACACUGAGGGCCCAAGACAAUGCCACACGCAGUAGAAACCAGCCAUCAACCAAAAGCUAAAAUGUUCCAGCCUGCAGGCUAUCACCAGUCAUCACAAUAUAAAGACGUAUCAGAGCUCAGCCCGUCGGUGAUUUUUAUCCUUGUGUUAGUCCUCAAUCUUUAUGGGAGAGGCAUUUUUCAAAUCUGUAAGAACAACACUUACAGCGGAUUCUGGAAGGAUUGGAGAGUGGCAGUGAGCAGCGCUCGGUACCAUGUAAGCUGCUGAUCACGCUUACCAGGGCCUCCUGGGAGAGGGAAGCGUAGCUUGCAGGGUGAAUGCGUACAGACCCAGGGCUGCACCCACCUCCUCACCUUGAUGGAGUGGUUUGCCCUCCGGCUCCACUUCCUGGGGCAGACAUGAGCCACAGCCUGCUGCUGGCUUUGGGAUAGAUACAUGCUCCUGCCAGGGAUGGGGAUGGAUGCUUGCUUUCACCUCUGGCGGGCCUCCCAGCUGAGGAGUCACCCGUUCAUCUGUCACGUGGGUGGCCGGUCUUGGUCGCCUCUCCACGGUGCUCCACCUCCCGGCUGAUUUUUCUCCUGAGGUUUUCCUUUCUGUCUUGGUUGUCGGAGAGGCUGCACACAGCUCUGGACGCUGGAUUCUAGGCCAUUGCUUCCUGGGCCCUUUGCUCCAUUCAUGGAGGAACCGCCAGGAGGCAUUGGGUACCAAGCUGGACAUGGGAUGGAGAAAGUGAGCAGGAAAGACACAGCAGCAUGGGGUGAGGCUUCCUGAGGACCUGGCGGGCAAGGAGCUGCCCGUGAGGGAAGGCCGGGUGCUGCCAGCUGAGACACAGUAGUGAGGUCAUCUUCUUUAAGCUACCUGCCUGCUCUCUCAGAGCCAGCUUCCCCACCCAGAAAAUGGAAGACGUCACGACCUGGUCUCCCUGCCUCCUCCUUAGCCUCUGAUGCUUCCUUUCCUACACAUGAGCUGGAGUGAUUCUGUAAGACCUAAGUUAGCCCCUAACUUUGUUCUGCUCAAAACCUUCUAGUGGCUUCUCACGUCAUCCUGAAUCAACAUAAAGUCUUUAUUAACACUAAGUCCUGCAGGUUCCAGCAGCUCUCCCUCCCUCCGCCAACCUCCUCUCCCCAACAACCCCUUCUGCUGUAGCCACGCUGAGCAGCUCACUCUUGCACACAAAGACACCUGCCUCAGGGCCUUCACACUGGCUGUUUUAUUCCCGCUGCCUGGAAGAUCUCCCCCUACACCCUCCUCCCACACGUCCUUCCGACCUUGCUCAAAUGCCUCCUCCUUUGAGAGGCUGCCCCCAAUACCCCUCUCUCCACCAUCACUCUUUGUCCCCUGACCCUCUCAUUUGCCUUCCACUUGAUACAAUGUAUCUUUUUCCAUUUCCUGUUGGUUCUCUUCUAUUCUGUUCAUGGCUGGAUCUCUACACCUAGCCCAGCACCCGGCAUAUAGUAGCUGCUCAGUGAAUAUUGGUGAAGUGUGUGGAAUUAGUUUAAUCCCAUACCCCUCGGGAAGCCUCUGAAGAUGGAAUCUUGGAAGAAAUUCACUGGAAAUGGACAUUUCUCCAGGCUGUUGCACUUGAAGAGUGAUUUCCUGCUGGGAGAACCAGUCCCCCCACCACGUUUGCCACCAUCAGAACUGCCUGAGAGGGUGCCGAUAGUUUGCAAUGUCGUAUUGUAUACUUAAAAUUUGCUAAGAGGGUAGAUCUUAUGCUAAGCAUUUUUAUCGCAAAAUAACAAUAAUAAGUAAAGAGGGUGGGAGGAAGCUUCUGGAAGGGAUGGAUAUGUUUAUGGCAUAGACGAUGAUGGUUUCAUAUAUUUACGGCACAGAUGUGGUGGUUUCAUAUGUUUGUGGAAUAGACAGUGAUGGUUUCACCAUAGGUGGUAAUGAUUUCACAUAUUUAUGGCAUAAAAGGUGGUGGUUUCAUACGUUUAUGGCACAGAUGUUGAUGGUUUCACCAUAGGUGGUGAUGGUUUCAUACGUUUAUGGCAUAGAAGGUGGUUUCGCACCUGUGUACUUAUCUCCAGGCCAAACAAGUUGUAUCCAUUCACUAUGUAUGCCAGUUACACCUCAGUAGAAAUUUUGUAAUAAAUGAAUAGCCUGAGAGGAGCUGGGCCUUCUUCAUAUGGCCUCAUCAGGCCUGCUCUGAACCAUAACUCGGGCCUGCAACCCCCAGGUGCAAACCAGCCUCCACAGCUGAGCCUCUGAUUAGCCAGAUCGUUUGUCUUCUUCCAAAGGCAGCACUGCAGGGCUGGUUGAUCUUGAAUUUCUGACGCAUACAUUAAACAUCCUCUGCAACCUGCAGGCACUGAGUGGCUGUCCUAAGAGCCCUCUGCACUGCUAAUUUUAAAAAUGCUUUGAAAAGUAUUUUUCCUGAUGCAUUCCAAGGGCUAACAGCUUGCUUUCCUGUGAAGGCCCAGUGAGUGUCUGAAUCACCAUGGCAAACCUUACUUGAAUGUUUUGGAGAUUUCUGCUGAUCGUGACGGACUGGAUUUAGGGGGAAUCCAGCCAUGGUUUCCAGCCAUGUUGCUCAGAUGCUGGGAGGUGGAGAGAAUCCCGCUGAGGUUCUCACCUCCAUUCUCCAGGGCAUUUCUGAAAGCAGAGUUUCCGUCUCAUCGUUGAGCCAAGCAUCCCAUUAGAGCUCAGAAAUGACAUACGAAAACCAUAAAAACAGGCAUUGCCCUGUGAGGCGACAAUUCUGCUUUUAGGAAUUUAUCCUAAAGAAAUAACUAAUGAUGUGAUUAUAAAAGAAUUAGCUCCAAGGACAUUCAUCACAAGCCUGUUUAUAGAUUGAGAAACUGGAAACAAGCUAAAUGUCCAACAAAAAGGGGUUCGUUAAAUGUGGCACAACUGUGCAAUGGGAGACUAAUGACGACCUCAUGAAAUACCACAGCCUGGGGUCGAAGCUAGCCCACCUCCUGUUUUUGUAAAUAAAGUUUUAUUGGACAUAGCCACACCCAUUAAUUUACAUAUCAUCUGUGGCUGCUUCUGCACUAAAAUGGCAACAUUGAGAAGUUGCAGCAGACACCGUAUGGCCCACAAAGCCGAGUAUAUUUACUGUCUGGCACUUUACAGAAGAUGUUUGCAGACUCCUGCUAUUGGAUGACAAGGAAAAAUUCGUAAUGCCCUGCCCAGUAGGAAUAUGUUACAAAACUGUGCAAUUUUCAUAAUCCCAGUGGUGACUUAAAAGGACUGUGUAUAUACAUAUAUGUAUUUUUUUUCUUUGUGUCAUGGAAUUUUGAAUGAUUUGGAAGAGCAUACCUAUAUUUUCUAACUUUACCUGCUCCUGAACACAGCCUGAGGCAACUUACUUCCAUCCUGGUCUCAAUUCCUGCCAUGUCCAGUGCUUCCUGGGACGACUCUGGAUGGUGGUGGCCUCCAAGAUGCCCCCCGAGGCCUCUGCCUUAUGUGGCCCUCACUGAAUCACAGCUGAUCCAGGUGACCAGUAGAGUAGAAGGUGAUGCUGGGUGACGUCUGAGAUUGGGUCACAGAAAGACUUCCAGCCUCACUGUGGUCUCUCAGAAGCUCUGACUUAGGAGCUCUUCGCUGCCCUAUGGGAAAUCGGUUUCCUCAUGUCCACCAUGCUGGAGACACCCCAGGAGGGUCUAUGUGAAGAGACAGAAAUGCCAGCCCCAGCCACUCCAGGCACCUAGAAGACGCCUCUGACAACAUGGAGCAGAGAUGAGUCAUCCUCACAGAGCCCUAUCCAAACUGCAGACGCAUAAACAAAAUAAAUGGCUACUGCUGUUUUAAGCCAAUAAGUUUUGGAGCUGUUUGUUACACAGCAGUGGAUAACGAGAAACCCUGCCAGAUAACAAGCUGUCCUUGAAUCCCGAUCUCAGAGUCUGUUUCUAGGUAACCUCACCCAAGCCCUCUGUGAGCAUCUAAUGAGUCGUGCGUGCAGUAGCUGUCCUGGAACGCAUGCUAUCGUCGGUGACUAUUCAUGUCUCAAUGCUAACCUACCCCAAGAGCUUUACAGAGAUGUCCAACCACACUUUAACAGGAGCACUGCACAGCACCUGGCCAGGGGCCAAAGGGAGUAGGGACUCUGGCAAGCUGGAGGACAUGGGGGCAGUGGAGAAAGUGGCUCUCACCAAGCCUUCACAAGAUGCUGCAUAUUUUUCUUGGGCCAGAGUCACUAACCAAAAUGUAGCUGGAGGCACAUAGAAUUCACAUGCAAUGAUGCUUCGCACAAGGCCACAGCAAAUUGAAAUCACUUGGCAGCUGCACCCUGGGGCUCUGUGAUGGUGCCUGUCACCAAGAUCGUGGACUGAGGUCCAGCUCAGUCUGUACCCCACAGCAGCACCUCAUCUGUGGAAAGGGCUGCAGAUGUGGGGAGAAGAGGGCCUACCCUUUUAGAAGAGGCCAAAAAGUCAGAAUUUCAAGCUAGAGUGGAAAGACACACUGCAGGGGAGCUGCCAGGAAGAAGAGUGAUUUGAUUUCUUAACGGGAGACUCCAAAGGAGUCAGCCCGCGGAGACAAAAUCAAAAGAGGCCCGGACUUGGGAGCACAGCCUGGGAACGCAGGCGGGGGCCUCUGGGACUCUUCCAGCUCAGACCAGGCCUGUGUCUGGGGCUUCUGGGGGCAGCCUGGGAACUGGAAUUUUCUUGUUCCAUAAUGGACUUCUCGGACCCUGCAGGUGGCCUGCCCGGGAUGGCACUCCCUGUGGUAUCAGUGGCUCCUGUCACGGAGGGCACAUGCUGGCUCCAUGCUCAGGCUGUCCUGUAAAUCAUCUCACCGAAUCCCCACUGUGUCCUUACAGAGCAAGCACGCAUGCCUGUGUCCUCCAGAGAAGCAAGCCAGGCCCGAGGAAUGGGCGGCCGAUGGCUCCAGGAAGGUCACUGACUUUGGAGGGAACUUGGGAUCUCCUCCCCACUCUCUCUGUCCUCAAGGCCCAUCUUUUUAAAAUCAACUUUUUGGGAUGUAAUUGACAUAUAAUAAAACCAUCUUAGGUGUACAGCUUGAUGAAUUUUGUCCCACGUAUACAGCUGGGUAACGACAGGAAUCUGGACAUGAGGUUUGCGUGGGCAGCCAAGCUGGGGCCUCAGGAUGCCCUUCGUUCUGAACUUGGCUGCCAUGCCAGGGCCUCGGGAUGCCCUUCCUUCUGAACUUGGCUGCCUGGCCAUCUCACAGUUCCACUUUGUCAACUCUUUGAAGUCUGGGAGAAGUGACUCACCUGAAUUUUUUUUCUUUUCUACAUUCCCACCAUUGUCCCAUCUCCUUCCCUGCUUUGGACAAAGAUUUCUCUUUUCCACGUGAUGGGAGGGGGAUUGUAAACAUCCCAAGCUUUGGAAUCAAAAGACCUAGGCUCACACCGCAGCCCUGCUAUGUGACUCCGGGCACGUGACUUAACUUCUCUGGGCUCCUUUCUUCAUCUGUGUAAAACAGAGAUCAUAAUGGACCCUCUAAGGUCAUUGGGAGACUAAAAGGAGGUAUUAUAUGCAAACAAUAAAUAUUAUUAUUUUGAAUUGCACUGGCUUUAAUGACACAAAUGUGAAGAAAAGGGUAGGAUUGUAGGGGAAGCCUGGGAAAAGGAGAGAUUAAAAGACAAAAACAAUUUCAACUUUUCUGAAAA